rnacentral:rRNA from 1 species
UGAUUUCACACUGUCAAGAAAAGCCGCUAGCGAGACUGUAGGUGCCCGUACCGCAAACCGACACAGGUAGAUGAGGAGAGAAUCCUAAGGUGAGCGAGAGAACUAUUGUUAAGGAACUCGGCAAAAUGACCCCGUAACUUCGGGAGAAGGGGUGCCAUCGAAAGAUGGCCGCAGUGAAAAGGCCCAGGCGACUGUUUACCAAAAACACAGGUCUCUGCUAAAGCGAAAGCUGAAGUAUAGGGGCUGACGCCUGCCCGGUGCUGGAAGGUUAAGGGGACUGCUUAGAGCGAUCGAAGGCAUGAACUUAAGCCCCAGUAAACGGCGGCCGUAACGAUAACGGUCCUAAGGUAGCGAAAUUCCUUGUCAGGUAAGUUCUGACCCGCACGAAAGGCGUAACGAUCUGGGCACUGUCUCAACAAUAGACUCGGUGAAAUUGUAGUACCGGUAAAGAUGCCGGUUACCCGCAGCAGGACGGAAAGACCCCAUGGAGCUUUACUGCAGCUUGAUAUUGGAAUUCGGCAUUGCAUGUACAGGAUAGGUGGGAGACUGAGAGAAGAGUACGCCAGUAUUCUUGGAGUCACCGUUGGGAUACCACCCUUGUAAUGUUGAGUUUCUAACGACGUGCCGUGAACCGGCACUCGGACAGUGUCUGGCGGGCAGUUUGACUGGGGCGGUCGCCUCCUAAAGAGUAACGGAGGCGCCCAAAGGUUCCCUCAGUGCGGACGGAAAUCGCACGAAGAGUGUAAAGGCAGAAGGGAGCUUGACUGCGAGACAAACAGGUCGAGCAGGGACGAAAGUCGGGCUUAGUGAUCCGGUGGUACCGAGUGGAAGGGCCAUCGCUCAACGGAUAAAAGCUACCCUGGGGAUAACAGGCUGAUACCCCCCAAGAGUCCACAUCGACGGGGGUGUUUGGCACCUCGAUGUCGGCUCGUCUCAUCCUGGGGCUGAAGUAGGUCCCAAGGGUUGGGCUGUUCGCCCAUUAAAGAGGUACGCGAGCUGGGUUCAGAACGUCGUGAGACAGUUCGGUCCCUAUCCGCUGUGGGCGUUGGAGAUUUGAGUGGAGCUGUUCUUAGUACGAGAGGACCGGGAUGGACGUAGCUCUGGUGCACCAGUUGUACUGCCAAGUGCAUAGCUGGGUAGCCACCUACGGACGGGAUAAGCGCUGAAAGCAUCUAAGUGCGAAGCCCCCCACAAGAAAAGAUCUCCUCCAGAAAUGGUAAGACCCGUGAGAGACUAUCACGUAGAUAGGCCUCAGGUGUAAGUGCAGUAAUGUAUUAAGCUGAGAGGUACUAAUAGGUCGAACACUUGACC